rnacentral:rRNA from 1 species
GACGAACGCUGGCGGCGUGCUUAACACAUGCAAGUCGAACGGAAAGGCCCUGCUUUUGUGGGGUGCUCGAGUGGCGAACGGGUGAGUAACACGUGAGUAACCUGCCCUUGACUUUGGGAUAACUUCAGGAAACUGGGGCUAAUACCGGAUAGGAGCUCCUGCUGCAUGGUGGGGGUUGGAAAGUUUCGGCGGUUGGGGAUGGACUCGCGGCUUAUCAGCUUGUUGGUGGGGUAGUGGCUUACCAAGGCUUUGACGGGUAGCCGGCCUGAGAGGGUGACCGGGCAAAUUGGGACUGGAGUUCGGGCCCGACUCCUACGGGAGGGAGGAGGUGGGAAUAUUGCACCAUGGGCGGAAGCCUGGUGCAGCAAAGCCGCGGGCGGGGUGACGGCCUUCGGGUUGUAAACCGCUUUCGCCUGUGACGAAGCGUGAGUGACGGUAAUGGGUAAAGAAGCACCGGCUAACUACGUG